GGCCGAGCCCCCGGAAGCCUCACCUCCUGCACCAUCACGGCCGUGCACGCCUUGGGCUCUCCCUAACGGGCCAGGCCGCCCUCCGCUCCCUGAAGAAGAUGUGGAAAAGACCCAUCUCGGCCUUCAACUGGAACUUGGUGGGAUUCUUUUCCAUCCAGCUGCCAAGCACCCAGCUGACCCGAGAGCCACUCUCUGCGAACUCCUCAGACCCUUCCUCGGAGACCCCCUUCUCCAGGACACAGUGAGCAUGCUGGUUCCCAGAGAAUGGUUUAGGUCAUGAGUCAUUCCGUGGUGCCACAAUUUCUCCUGCAGUUUCCUUGUUCCUUGGGAAAUGAUUAAAUAAAGAAGCCGUGUAUCAGCAGUCAGA